rnacentral:lncRNA from 1 species
CUCGGCCUCCCAAAGUGCUGGGAUUACAGGCAUGAGCCUCUGCGCCAGGCCUUGGCUCCCCGACAUUUGCAUACAUGCACAAGGUCAUGUGCACAUACACAAAUGCAUGCAUGCACUCAUGUAUAACACAUGCAAACAUACAUACAUGCACACGCACACACACACACAUGCACACACACACACCUAUGGCAUUGUGGGUAUCUGGCACAAUCGAGGGAAUCCAUUUCCAGUGCCAAGCAUCGAGCAGGAUGACUAAAAGGUAAGGCACAGAUUUAGAAGUCAAAAGAGAUAGACACUCACCGACCCUCUCCCUGCUGGUUUUCCAGGUGAGGUUUAAGUUAUACCACGAAUCCUCAACUGCUGUGAGGUAAGAACAUUUAAUUUUUAUUUUUUCUUGGAGUCUUGUGCAUCCAGGUUGGACGAGGAGAGAAGGAGAGGCUGGCAGGAACUCUUUUUCUGGAUCAGGUUGUCUGUAGCCCCAAGACUGAGUGCACACGUUUCCAUCAAGCCAGGCAGAAGGGCCACCAGGUGACCGCAGCAGCCAACCCCAAGGGGUCUCUGGCAGAGCUUUGGGCUUCUCUGCAGAUGUCGAGCCUGUCCCAGGCCUCCUGCCAGUGUCCACAGUGCUGUGCGUUGGGUGUCUAAUUCCACCUCCCCCUGAGAGGUCACUGACAUGUGAACACAUGCUCCUAACAAGUUGACCCCAGUCUUGCUGAAAUUGCCUAGACUGUAUUAUUUUCUUCCCCAUACUUGACAUAGAGCAUAAGCUGAGAGGUACAUAAUACAUGCCAUAAUUUAUGACGGUGCUUAGGUAAAGCCAUGCAAACUCGUCUAUCAUUGCCAGGUUCAUUUCCAGUGGUGUUCAUUGAAGGUAAGUUGACUCAUUUAUACAAAACAAUUCCCUCAUUUCCCUUUGAGCAAUUGUCAAGUGUGCUUGACGCAGGCCAAGUGACCUUCAAAUGCGGAGUGGGGUUUGGCCUGGAAUGUCAGUGUGCAUUUGGCAGCAUGAAUUGCUCCAAAGAAUCCUGAUUUCUUAUGCAUGAACUGCUGACCCCAGCACUGGGGCCUGGAGAGCGGGACGGGAAGGAAGGUGAACUCCUGCUGAUUCAGGGGCCCUCCCAGCAGCCUUUCCACGGUGUCAGCAGUAUUCACAUCACUUUCCUCUCCUCCCUCUUCCGCCCCACCGUAAGUCCUGUCCCUGGAAGCACUUUUCAGUUGCCAGGAAUCAUGAACAUUAGGAAACAAUCCAAAAAAACGGGGUGUCUACUUUAUAUUCUGUGGCCCACACGGUCACACAUGGGCCUGGUUUUAACACCGGGUCAUAGGUGUGGAAACAGCCUGGCCUAGAGGAAGGAACACUGAACCAGUGAGAGAGGCCUUCAGUGACUCCAGGACCAAGCAAGUGUGUGGCCUGGAGGCUGGCCUUUCUAAGAGGCCUGUCUCGGUGGAAACGGAGGAAUGUUCUACUGCUGGCUUUCCAGAGCGCUCCUCUAGCCCCACUACUUGGAGCGAUGCUUCCCGGUGUUGAAGCUGCAGAUCUAAGGACCAUGUUUCUUCAAACACAACCAGGCCUCUAGGGCAAGAUCGUUUCCAGGAGAUGUAAUGAAAUAUGAAGGAAAACGCCCAGCAGGCAACAUGCCUGCCUGCUGAGGAUCACAGGAAACAGCCUUACUACCAAUCUACCAAUACUGGGCCCUGAGCUGGAGAAACAGCUCCUUUUUUCAUUUCAAAAUAUCACUAAUGUUCCAUGGUGCAGGACAUAUUUCAAAUGCCUCAAUUGGAAAAAACAGGCUCCAAAGGCAUCACGGUGUGCCUGUGGCUCUUGUCUGUGCUAGGCAGCAGCACAAGGGCCUGCUCAUUAGCUCACUGAUGACAGGUUUAUCCGCAACUGUAUAUCAAGCAAUGAGAAAGUCAGCUGUGCGAGCAAACGUCCCUCAGUCAUAUUGCACAAAGCCUUCGUAAAGGGAUAGAGUGCUGAAAGCCUCCUAACUCCUCUCUAGCUGAACAUCUUUUCCCCUCCGCUACCUCUGAACCUCUCAUCCUUCCAACUCAGCUCAAGAACGCAGAAGCUGUUUGCCGACCCCUUCUGCUAGUGUCCUGUCCUUGGUAAUUCAAAGACGCCCCCGGGAUGGCCCACAAAGAGCCCUGUGUGCAUGCACACGCGCCACUGUCACUGAUAAGGCCACUGGGUGGUGAGCGGUUCUUUUCACACUUCACAUCCAGAGGCUUUUCCUGUGAUUUGUGUGUGAAGCACCUGUUUGCAUGGUCCGUCCACCCUUAUCUGAGAUUCUGCCUCUUAGGCACCAGGGCAGGUUGAAGCCUUUUUCACCCACUUACAAAGCAACAGCUUAUUCCUGAGAAGUGUGUCAAGCUGGUAUGUCCACUGUGCUCCCCAGACUCACCAAUAAGAUCACUGACUUAAUUGUUUUCUGCCCCUUACUUUUAGAAGAAAGAAGUUAGGCAAUCUAAAGGAGUCAAACUGAUAAUGUUGCUUUUGAAAAAAAGUAAACAAAUAAUAAAACAUCUCCCAGAGUGUAUGGGGUCCAAAACACAUUUAACCCAGUUUCUCACACUUUCCAUAUGAACAUUUACUCAAUAAUCCUACGUGAUGUUUAGAAUGAAUAAUUACUGUGGGGCCCCUCAUCAAACAUCAGAAAGAGACCAAUAGGUUCGAUAUUUUGCCGUAAAGCAGGAAAUUGAACUAAGUAUCAAGAAAUAAAUACCAACAGAGAGAAUAACAAAGGAAGGAAGGAGGGAUUAAUUGUCAUUGUUAGAGAAAAACUCAUUUUCUGAUGAUGAUGGUCAAGACCUUAUCUUAUAAUCCUCCUAACUAUAGCCUCCUUUUCUUUGCAUUGGGUACCCAACAUCCAUUAUGACUGUUGUCUCCAGAAGCCCAGAGACAUUCAUCUUUUUGCUCUCCUUUCACUGAUGAGGAGACUGGACGUCACGUGAUAAUUCAGCUGCCCAGUCUUAUGGCAAGCGAGAGAGACCUAUUUUGAACUGAGGCAUGCUGGACUUCAAAGUCCAUGUUCUUGCUCUUAGAGCAAGUCUCUAAAACAAGAUUUUCACUAAUUCUUAACAAUUUAUUGAGUUCAGCAGUUACUGAGCAUCUAUCAUGUCUUGGCAGUGAUAGGGAAUACAGAUAUAAAAAAGUUACAGCCCUACCUUCACUUGAGCCAAAAAUAUUUUUCUUUAGGGAAUCUUUAGAACAAACACUUUCAGAAAAUUUUUCUAAUUGAGCUUGAGAUGUUGACUUGACUCUCAUUUUUAAAACUAACUAAUUGGCUAUCAAAAUGGCAACACUUACAAGAUAAUGCUUUCUGUAUUUCUUCAUGCAUUUAACUCCCUAACUAAUGAAAAACUUCAUGAUAUUUUCUCCCAAAGGAGGGGAUAGAAGUGUCUUUUCUUCUCACACUGUGAAGACAAGUAAACGUAAUUUAGUUUCAAUACAGUUAUAUUAGCUUUAGAUAAUAAUGAGCUAUUGCCAUAUAUCAGACCACAAAAAAAGAACCAAAACUAAACAUUAAUACAAGGUAUGUUUUUAUUUCUAUUAUACUUUAAGUUCUGGGAUACAUGUGCAGAAUUUGCAGGUUUGUUACAUAAGUAUACACGUGCCAUGGUGGUUUGCUGCACCCAUCAACCCAUCAUCUACAUUAGGUAUUUCUCCUAAUGCUAUUCCUCCCCUAGCCCUCCACCCCCCAACAGGCCCCAGUGUGCGAUGUUCCCCUCCCUGUGUCCAUGUGUUCUCAUUGUUCAAUGUGUAACAGAGUUGGAGUAUGGCUUCUAAAAAUCAUAAUUUCAUAUGCAUAAUGGCAAUUGCUAGACAAGAAUUCUGUAACUAGAGCUAGUUACAUGAGCAAAAACUGCCUCAUAGUUCAGGUUGCAAAGUGGGCAGCCAUUAUAGCCCAGAAGACACUCCCAGAAGAAAUUGGUGAGCUAACUUUGUAUAUUUAUGAACAUUUUUGGUAUUUUCAGUCUUUCCGAAGCACCUGGUGAUGGCCAGUGUGGAAGACUAGGUGGAGCAUGACAAGAUCAUUGUCUGUAAGCACUCACUGUGCUGUUUCUAGAAGACGCUUCUGUAGGUGAAUAAAGGUGGUUAUUGCUGAGUCUUUCUUCACCAAAAAAUAAUGAAACUAAUUUAAUAGGCUGAUUUGGAAAAGAGCCUAGUAAAAUCCGCUGCAGAAUUGGGAUUUGCUUUGAAAAGUGUCUCUGUCCUUACAGGCACACUGAUGGAGUAUUGUUUUGUUCCUCAUGUGGCAUUUUUCAAGCCACUUCAAGUCUGUUUUCAAACUAAAUUGGGAAUUAAAAAAUCAUAUGAUAAGUAAAUUGAAAAAUGUAACUCACUAGUGUCCAUUCUCUAGCAUCCAAAGUAUUUGACCUAUUACAAAUUUAUCAACAGUAAAUAUUUCUUAGACUAAUUUGUAACCUGUUAUAAAUUCACCCAAAGGAAUAGUAAUUUUCAUAAUAAUGGAAUAAAAGAGCUUUCAAUGUCCCUUAUGAAGCUGUGUUCAAUGGAAAUAAAGCAUUGGGUGUAGCGGUGGGUAUGUGAAUGGAUGGAGAACUGGCUGAGCAGCCUAUGGGUUGAUUAGCCAUAGAAACAUUGGGCCUUGAUUGCUGCAAGCCCUCAGCCUGGGCCCAGUUUAAGAGCAGCCUG